rnacentral:rRNA from 1 species
GAUGAACGCUGGCGGCGUGCCUAACACAUGCAAGUCGAACGGACUUAAGAUGAAACCUAGUGAUUUUUAAGUUAGUGGCGGACGGGUGAGUAACGCGUGGGCAACCUGCCUCAUACAGGGGGAUAACACUUAGAAAUAGGUGCUAAUACCGCAUAAGCGCACAGCUUCGCAUGAAGCAGUGUGAAAAACUCCGGUGGUAUGAGAUGGACCCGCGUCUGAUUAGCUAGUUGGUGGGUAACGGCCUACCAAGGCGACGAUCAGUAGCCGGCCUGAGAGGGUGAACGGCCACAUUGGGACUGAGACACGGCCCAAACUCCUACGGGAGGCAGCAGUGGGGAAUAUUGCACAAUGGGGGGAAACCCUGAUGCAGCAACGCCGCGUGAGUGAAGAAGUAUUUCGGUAUGUAAAGCUCUAUCAGCAGGGAAGAAGGAAGACGGUACCUGACUAAGAAGCACCGGCUAAAUACCGUAG